rfam:Ictidomys tridecemlineatus contig005800, whole genome shotgun sequence.
UGGGUUGUAGCUCAGUGGUAGAGCGCUUGCCUAGCACAGGUGAGGCACUGGGUUCGAUCCUCAGCACCACAU